AGACAAAAUGUGAUAUUUGUUAAAUCUGUCUUAGGACAGAGUGUUGUCUUUCAAAUAGUUUGUAUGUAGAGAAUUACAUCAAUGAACUAGACUAUAUCAGUCAUAAAGAAAUUUAUGUAUUGGAGAGUCUUAAAAGCAGUAGUUGGCUUGUAUUCUGUAUAUCUCAUGUUAAAGUUGUAAUGUCCGGUUAUGAAUUAACAGAGUCUAGCUGUUGAU